UGAGGAAUAUUGCGCAAUGGGGGAAACCCUGACGCAGCGACGCCGCGUGGGUGAUGAAGGCCUUCGGGUUGUAAAGCCCUGUUGGAGGGGAAGAAAGGGCGUGUAGCUAAUAUCUGCACGCAUUGACGGUACCCUCUGAGGAAGCACCGGCUAACUCCGUGCCAGCAGCCGCGGUAAUACGGAGGGUGCGAGUGUUAUUCGGAAUUACUGGGCGUAACGAGCACGUAGGCGGAUAGACAAGUCAGGUGUGAAAGCCCGGAGCUUAACUCCGGAACUGCAUUUGAUACUGCCUGGCUUGAGUGUGGUAGAGGGGGGUGGAAUUCCCGGUGUAGAGGUGAAAUUCGUAGAUAUCGGGAGGAACACCAGAGGCGAAGGCGACCCCCUGGGCCAUAACUGACGCUGAGGUGCGAAAGCGUGGGGAGCAAACA
rnacentral:rRNA from 1 species